GCCGGGAUGGCCGAGCGGAUUAGCAGCAAAACAACUCGAUCUAGAGGCGCAGGCCUUGAGUGGAAAUAUUCAAUGCAAGCCUGUGGCCCUUAUGGGCCUCGGGGGUUCGAAUCCCUCUCCCGGCG
rnacentral:tRNA from 1 species